CAAUAGCGUAUAUUAAAGUUGUUGCAGUUAAAAAGCUCGUAGUUGGACCUUGGACCUGGACAGGCGGUCCGCCUCACGGCGAGUACUGUCUUGCCGGGCCUUUCCUCUUGGUGAUCUGUUGUUUCGGCAGCAGGGAACCAGGACCUUUACUUUGAAAAAAUUAGAGUGUUCAAAGCAGGCUCGACGCCGGAAUAUAUUAGCAUGGAAUAAUAAAAUAGGACGUGCGGUUCUAUUUUGUUGGUUUUUGGAAUCGCCGUAAUGAUUAAUAGGGACAGUCGGGGGCAUUAGUACUCACAUGCUAGAGGUGAAAUUCUUGGAUUUUGUGAAGACUAACUUCUGCGAAAGCAUUUGCCAAGGAUGUUUUCGUUA
rnacentral:rRNA from 1 species